AGUCGUAACAAGGUUUACCGUAGGUGGAACCGUGCAGGAAGGAUCCAUUGAAAGAGUAAGGGGUUAUUCGGUAGCCCGACCUCCAACCCUUUGUUGUUAUAACUACCUCGUUGCUUUGGCGGGACCGCUCGGUCUCGAGCUGCUGGUCUUCGGCCCGGCAAGUGCCCGCCAGAGUCUACUCAAACUCUUGUUUUAACCGGUCGUCUGAGUUAAACUUUCAAUUAAAUUAAAA
rnacentral:misc_RNA from 1 species